CAGCAGCCUCUCCCAUGUCCCUUCUCCUGCCCAGGGCAGUGGAGAAACCUGGGAUUGGAGACACCUGAGAGCCACGGGGACGUGGAGAGGAACAGGGACAGAGGGCCCAGCCCGGCCCUUUCUCCCUUCCAGCCAGGACUGAGCAGCUUAUCUGCAGGAGGCAGGGCGUGGGAUCAUGGGCCAGGGCUGGCACGAGCGAGGCACUCUGCAAACAGCGCGGGAUAAGGAAAAGUCUGAAUCUGAGUUCUCUACACAGCACAGAGGCCUGAAGACGCACGCCUGGUUCUUCCACAUGCCCUGGGCUCCUCGACCAGAUUUUUAGGAGCUGUGAAGCCAGAGAUGACCAUGAGGCUGUGGGAAACAGAACUUGGCCCUACAUUCCCAUUAGACUUCACUUCCCAGAGGAGAUGUAACCAGGCAGACAGUGCCUGCCGAUGCCACCCCCUCAACCCAACCAAGCUGGAGGGAAGGAAGGAAGGAGGAGGGUGAUUGUGCCUCAACCAAUGCAAAAAGACCCUGGAGUCCCACCCCCUCUAUCCAUGCUGGCCUCAGGACCCUGGGACCCCUUCAGAGGUCCUCCUGACCUUCCCAAGCCUGCCACCAGCCAGCUCUGAACAGUGUGAUACUCAAAGGCUCACCUCUCCUAAAACUUACCCUGUUCUCCCAUCUUCCUCUUGAACUGUCAGGAUGAAGGUAGCCCUUGAGUUCUCCCAUCCUAGCUGUCUCUAGUCUCUAGCUCAAUUCCCUCUAGCUGCAGCACUAGUUCACAUCUCCAGCCCUGCACCCCCCUCCCCGAGGGGGAUCCCAGAGGAAAACCAGCAGUGGGCCAUCUCUGGCCCUCUUCCCUUUGUCCUGGUCUGGUGCACUGUGCUGACCACCAGCCCGAUACAUCAUUCCAACCCAAUCUCUGAUCCACCCUGAAACCCUGGCCUGCCACAGCCACCCGAGAGCUAAGGAGGCUGCCAGGUCCAGGGAGAGGGUGAGUUGUGCCUGUGUUAAACACAGACACAGGACAGAGAGCCAAGCUUCAACUCCCAGCGGGGCCAUUCCUUUCCCAAAUAAUUCCAUAGUCAUCUCCUCCCUGGAUGGUCCCCAGGGAGUGAACCUGCUGGGCUCUCGAGACCCUGAGGAGGACACACCGUUGCCCUCCUGCCUGGAGCCCCACUUACUGCGCAGAAGCGCCCUGUGUUUGUCAGUCUCCUCCUUAGGGGCUUCUUGGUUAUUGCGAGCCUUGCUCUUGUUCCUCCGUCCCUGUCUCCGCUAAGGCUCUGCUGUCUCUGGGUCCUCAGCCCAGAGCCCGCCCCUCAGCCCCGGACGCUGCUCCUGCCCCACCAGGGGAGAGGUCAGUAGGACGGAGGUUUGGCCUCUGCCACUUGAGCCAAGUCCUGACACGCUGCUCAAAAUAGCAUCCCUGCUCCUGCCAGUAGCAGGAUGGAGACUGAGUUCUGGGGCAGCCCUUGUGAGGCCAGAGGUGGAGAGCCAGGUACGUGUGUGCUGGCUUCACGGUCCCAGAGGAAAGGCCAGGCCUGAAGACAAACAGCUGGCUUAUCCCUGGGGCCAGAGCCAGGGGUAGCCUGAGCCUCCAGAACUGUGCAGAAUGGGAACUGGAGGUGGACAUUUCUAGAAAUCAACAGCCAGCUGGAAGGGUGGGAGAGACAACCCUGAAUCAGUUCUUAGGGAACCCGCAAUCUGAAGGGUGUGAGGAAUCAGGCACUGUCCUCAGAUGUCCCCAGUCUGAGAGGAGAGGGAACACCCAGGCCUGCUGGUCUUCUGGGGACCCAUCUAGAAGCUGCUUCCCUUAGGGAAAGCGAGCAAAGCUUCCUCGAGAGACCCCAAGCUGGCCAGAGGGCUAUGAGAGACCAGUAAUGGAGCUACCCUCAGGAGCUGUAAGGCAGACUGCUAGGAUGCCAGCCAGUGGAGCGGUGGGCAGUGGGCAACCAGUCCAGGGAGCUCUGGAGACUGGUAGCCUCUGUGGGGGCGAUGAUACAGGGUGCGGUUGCCCAAUACUGAAUGAAACUGUCCUCUAGAGACUGUAUGUGGUACAUGUUUUUCCUGCACUGGGAAGCUAAGAUAGGAAGAUCACUGUUGGUUUGAAGCCAGUCUGGGGCUACAGACUGAAUUCCAGAUCAGCCUGGGCUAUAAUAGGGUACCACUUCCAGCUCUCCUGCCCCCCCCCAACCUCCCCUACUCACACAAAAGAGUAAGAAUGAGAAAAAGAAACUAUCCUCUAGAGGGAGCCAAAGACCAGGCUGUUCUCUCCAGACACACCCAGUCCUGCUCUUGUAGCCAAGGGCAGAGAGCCCUCAGAGUUAGGCUGCAGCAGCCUUCCUGGUCAAGAGUUUUUCUUGCUGGGCGUGGUGGCGCACGCCUUUAAUCCCAGCACUCGGGAGGCAGAGUUAGGAGGGCUGCCGUGAGUUCGAGGCCACUCUGAGACUACAUAGUUAAUUCCAGGUCAGCCUGAGCCAGA